CCCUUAGAUGUUCUGGGCCGCACGCGCGCUACACUGACGAUGGCAACGAGUUUUUCCUUCGCCGAAAGGUGUGGGUAAUCUUUUGAAACAUCGUCGGGCUGGGGAUAGAUCAUUGCAAUUUUUGAUCUUGAACGAGGAAUUCCUAGUAAGCGCGAGUCAUCAGCUCGCGUUGAUUACGUCCCUGCCCUUUGUACACACCGCCCGUCGCUACUACCGAUUGAAUGGUUUAGUGAGGACUCCUGAUUGGCGCCGCCGCCCCGGCAACGGAGCAGCGGACUGCCGAAAAGUUGUUCAAACUUGAUCAUUUAGAGGAAGUAAAAGUCGUAACA
rnacentral:rRNA from 1 species